GGUGCCAUGGCUUAGUUGGUUAAAGCGCCUGUCUAGUAAACAGGAAAUCCUGAGUUCGAAACUCAGUGGUGCCU
rnacentral:tRNA from 1 species